UAUCGGUUGCUGCGUCUGCUGUGGUUGUAGUUGCUGGCAUUGUCAUUGGAAUAGUUGUCUGGAAGAGGAAACAAAGAGAUCAACCGAAGAUCUCAGAUCAAGUUGUACGCUACAACAUAGGUUCAUAUGAAAACGUUAAACCUGCAAAGACAAAACCUGAAGACAACAAUCGUCAGUUCGAUGACAUGACGUAUGACAAGCUUGAUGUCAACUUACGCGAUAGAGGACCUGAUGAAGAACCAUACUGUUCCAUACAGACUCGUCGAUCGGACGAAACAGACAUAUAUGAAUGUAUUGAUAGCAUUUGCGAAACUCCACAAGUUAUGUCCAGCAUGACAUCGAGUGGCAUACGUGAAGAACAUUGAAUACCGGAUUACGGCCACAAACAUCACUCACAUGCAUAUACUUUUUUAAAAAUUAUACAAAUCUAUAGUUUCAACAAAUACCUGCGAAGACCCGGGUUGGAAAUCAUCUUCAGCAGUCCAUGCAUGUCGUAAAAGAGGACUGACAGUUCGGGUAGUCAAACUUAUUUACCUGGUUGAUCAUCUUCAGCAGUCCAUGCAUGUCGUAAAAGAGGACUGACAGUUCGGGUAGUCAAACUUAUUUACCUGGUUGAUCAUCUUCAGCAGUCCAUGCAUGUCGUAAAAGAGGACUGACAGUUCGGGUAGUCAAACUUAUUUACCCGGUCGAUCAUCUUCAGCAGUCCAUGCAUGUCGUAAAAGAGGACUGACAGUUCGGGUUGUCAAACUUAUUUACCUGGUUGAUCAUCUUUAGCAGUCCAUGCAUGUCGUACAGUUGGACAGUUCGGGUAGUCAAGCUUAUUUACCUGGUUGAUCAUCUUUAGCAGUCCAUGCAUGUCGUAAAAGAGGACUGACAGUUCGGGUAGUCAAACUUAUUUACCUGGUUGAUCAUCUUCAGCAGUCCAUGCAUGUCGUAAAAGAGGACUGACAGUUCCGGUAGUCAAACUUAUUUACCUGGUUCAUCGAUGCCCAUGGUGCCAGUCACUGGAUUACCGUCAUAUAGCUGGAAUCUUGCUGGGUGCUGCGUUAGAUAACAAAGAUGCA